UAGGUCCCAAGGGUAUGGCUGUUCGCCAUUUAAAGUGGUACGCGAGCUGGGUUUAGAACGUCGUGAGACAGUUCGGUCCCUAUCUGCCGUGGGCGCUGGAGAAUUGAGGGGGGCUGCUCCUAGUACGAGAGGACCGGAGUGGACGCAUCACUGGUGUUCGGGUUGUCAUGCCAAUGGCACUGCCCGGUAGCUAAAUGCGGAAGAGAUAAGUGCUGAAAGCAUCUAAGCACGAAACUUGCCCCGAGAUGAGUUCUCCCUGAGACUUUAAGUCUCCUGAAGGAACGUUGAAGACGACGACGUUGAUAGGCCGGGUGUGUAAGCGCAGCGAUGCGUUGAGCUAACCGGUACUAAUGAACCGUGAGGCUUAACCUUACAACGCCGAAG
rnacentral:rRNA from 2 species